GGAAUUUUGGACAAUGGGCGCAAGCCUGAUCCAGCAAUGCCGCGUGAGUGAAGAAGGCCUUCGGGUUGUAAAGCUCUUUUGUCAGGGAAGAAACGGUGGACUCUAAUACAGAUCACUAAUGACGGUACCUGAAGAAUAAGCACCGGCUAACUACGUGCCAGCAGCCGCGGUAAUACGUAGGGUGCAAGCGUUAAUCGGAAUUACUGGGCGUAAAGCGUGCGCAGGCGGUUUGGUAAGACAGAUGUGAAAUCCCUGGGCUCAACCUAGGAAUUGCAUUUGUGACUGCCCGGCUAGAGUGUGUCAGAGGGGGGUAGAAUUCCACGUGUAGCAGUGAAAUGCGUAGAGAUGUGGAGGAAUACCGAUGGCGAAGGCAGCCCCCUGGGAUAACACUGACGCUCAUGCACGAAAGCGUGGGGAGCAAACAGGAUUAGAUACCCGGG
rnacentral:rRNA from 1 species